rnacentral:rRNA from 1 species
AUUCACAAAUUUUGGUGGGGGAGUAAGGACGGAGAGCGGAAAGUGGCUUGGGUUUCAUGGUCCGAAAUGACAUAGCCAAAGUAUGGGGGCCUCGGGUUCAGAGAUGUUGAGCUCUUCAACUUAGCAAUGUUAACAAAACAAGCCUGGAGACUGUGGCAAUAUCAGAGCUCCCUCAGCGGUCAGAUUUUAAAGGCGGCUUACUACCCAAACGUAGACCUGCUGGAAGCUGAAUUGGGGUCAUCACCUAGCCAAGUGUGGCACGCUAUACUCGAGGGAAGAGAUACACUUAAGCUAGGGCUGAUAAAACGGAUUGGUACCGGUGAGAAAACAAGAGUAUGUGAUGACAAUUGGUUGCCUAGAGACUAUAGUCUUAGGCUGAUUGUGGCGAAAGCAGCGACCCCCCCCCCUAGAGAUGGUGAGUGA